rnacentral:rRNA from 1 species
GUCAAUGGCCAUUACCACGUUGAGCUUCCCCAAUCUCAUCUGAUCCAGGAAGCCAAGCCAUGUUUGAGCCUGGUCAGUACCUGGUUGGGAGCCAGUGAUC